CAGGGCUUUUGCACGUAUCUUCUAACUGGCUCUUCCUGCGAUGCUGGCAGAAGUCACUUGACAGAUGAAGAAAGCAAGGCUUGGGGAGCAGAGGUCUGCAAGUGAAUGAACUUGGGCUGCCUGCUCCCUGCUCCCACCCCAUGUAGCUUGUGGCCCUGGUUAGGACGCCGCAUGGAUUAUGGUCAGGUGCAGGGUCCCGCCAGUCGAGAAGGUCUUCCAGAAUAGAGGGGUAAUCCAGGACUGAGGUCACCGUGGGUGAGGGGAACAGUCAUGGAGAACCAUUAGACACAGCAUCCUGUCUUCCCCCGGGGGUUAGGGAAACAGCUUUCUCAGGAGGAGGUGGCCCUGUUCACUCACAGGGUUCUUUACCUUGGCUCCCCAAUUCACACAUGACAGUAUUUUCACUUUCCACACAACCCUGGAGAGUGAUGGGAGAGGGGGAUCCCACACACUGCCCGGCUCUUGUUUGGGGAUGGAACAGAGCUCCCCGCCUUUCACUCUCAUAAAAAAGCAGCUGUGAUUCACUGAGGGCUUACUAUGCACCAGAUGUGCUGAGCACUUUAUAUGCCUUCAGCUCAUUUAAUGCUGGGAAGACACCAUAAUUUUUUCCACUUUGCAAACAAGGAUUUAAGGCUGGAAGGUUAAGUAAGUAGCUAUCGGUCAGGACAUUAAGUGAGGAAGCCAGGAGCGGAGCCCGGGCCCAUCUGGGUCCUGGCAGCUAUUACCCUACCGCCGCCCCACACAGGCCACAGGAAGGAGGCCAGUUCACACCUCCACCCCCUUGCGCCAGCUAGAAACACAGUGCCCUAAAACCAGUCCAUCCACUAGGACUCGAGCCCUCCAGGAGGCAACAUUCAUGCCCCUGCCUUGGCUUCAGGGGCUGCCCUGACCAGAGCGCCUCAUCCCCUGGGGACCCGGGGUUUCCUGUGCAGAGAUAGCUGCCAGGCCUCCCCUCCCUGAAGGUUCAUCCCACCCAGUGGGCUGUUCCAGAGAGGGCACAUCCAGGACCUGGUGCCCACCUGCAGACACGGGCAGUGGGGCUGAGGUCCAGCCUUUUCCUUCAUCAGGUUGGGUGGGGCAAACCAGUCAGGGUGGUGGCCUUGCCUGGGGACUGCAGCUGAGUGGCACGCACAGGGCCACUCCCUGCCCUGCCUCCAGCUCCUGGGUCAGACCUCACACUUGGAUCACAGAGCCCCUUCUUGCUACGUAGGAUGCGGCCUCAAGGAUGCUCUGGGAUGCCAGUCUUCACUGGACCCCUGGUGUUAGGGACAUUCCUCACCAUCCCGGCUGCAUCCACCCCUUACACAUCCCACCUCUGCUCACUUGGUCCCUCUGGUCUUGAAGGGAAACGAGGCCAAUCGUGGAGUGUGCACGGUGCGAGGCAGCCUAGGAAAAACCUUUAUCCUUCCUCACCUGACCUUCCCAGCCACCUUGACAGUGGGUGGGGCAUGGUUUAUUACUCCUCAUGUCAUAGCUGGUGACAGCUCAUAUUUGGAUUGGAGCUGAUAUUUGAGCAUUUAUUUUACAACAGGCACUCGUCAGAGCAUUUAAAUCGCUCAGCUUGUUGAGUCUUUACAACCUUGUAGUGUAGGUUCUAUUAGCCCAUUUACAGCUGAGGAAAAUGAGGCACAGAGACUCAUGAAGUAAACUGCUCGGCAGUGAACCCAGGUAGUCUGGCUCUUAACCCCUGUGCUGUCCAUAGUUGGGGAGAGGUGGGCGCUGCAGGGUGGGCUUCUCAGCUACAGGAGUGAAGUCAGGUCUCUAGAACACAACUUCCCAGGCAAAUGCAAGAAAAAGAUCUGCAGGAAUGCAGACUGCCCGAGAAGGUAAGUUCCACAAGGGCUGGACGUUUAUCUGCGGCAUUCCCAGAGCCUAGAUCACUGCCUGGCACAUAGUAGGUGCUCAAAAAACAUUUGUCACAUAAGUGAGUAAAUGAACUUGAAUGAAUGAGGGAAUACUCUGACCUCGACUGACUCACCUUCUCACGUCCUUCCUUCAAGACCUUCCCGGCAUUAUUCUGCAGGUGGAGGCUCAUGGAAAUGUGGGGCUGACCUGGGUGAGACUUGCGGGGGAUCCUCUCUCAAUUGCUGGUAUCGAGUCUCUGGAUAAAUAGCCUAUCAGCUUCAGUUUCUCCAUCUGCCAAAAAUAACCCCUACUCCAAACACAUGAAGAGUACCUAGGAUGCUGUAAACACUGAAUAAAUGUACCUACAACCAGU